UCGAAGUCUGAUGGAGCAUGCCGCGUGUAGCUGAAGAAGGGUUUCGGCUCGUAAAACUCUGUUGUUAAAGAAGAACACCUUUGAGAGUAACUGUUCAAGGGUUGACGGUAUUUAACCAGAAAGCCACGGCUAACUACGUGCCAGCAGCCGCGGUAAUACGUAGGUGGCAAGCGUUGUCCGGAUUUAUUGGGCGUAAAGCGAGCGCAGGCGGUUUUUUAAGUCUGAUGUGAAAGCCUUCGGCUUAACCGGAGAAGUGCAUCGGAAACUGGGAGACUUGAGUGCAGAAAAGGACAGUGGAACUCCAUGUGUA
rnacentral:rRNA from 1 species